GGUUGUCGUCAGCUCGUGUCGUGAGAUGUUGGGUUAAGUCCCGCAACGAGCGCAACCCCUACUUGUUAGUUGCCAUCAUUCAGUUGGGCACUCUAGCGAGACUGCCGGUAAUAAACCGGAGGAAGUGGGGGAGUGACGUCAAAUCAUCAUGCCCCUUAUGACCUGGGCUACACACGUGCUACAAUGGUUGGUACAACGAGUUGCGAGUCGGUGACGGCGAGCUAAUCUCUUAAAGCCAAUCUCAGUUCGGAUUGUAGGCUGCAACUCGCCUACAUGAAGUCGGAAUCGCUAGUAAUCGCGGAUCAGCACGCCGCGGUGAAUACGUUCCCGGGCCUU
rnacentral:rRNA from 1 species